CUACGGGACGCUGCAGUGGGGAAUAUUGCACAAUGGGCGCAAGCCUGAUGCAGCCAUGCCGCGUGUAUGAAGAAGGCCUUCGGGUUGUAAAGUACUUUCAGCGGGGAGGAAGGGAGUAAAGUUAAUACCUUUGCUCAUUGACGUUACCCGCAGAAGAAGCACCGGCUAACUCCGUGCCAGCAGCCGCGGUAAUACGGAGGGUGCAAGCGUUAAGCGGAAUUACUGGGCGUAAAGCGCACGCAGGCGGUUUGUUAAGUCAGAUGUGAAAUCCCCGGGCUCAACCUGGGAACUGCAUCUGAUACUGGCAAGCUUGAGUCUCGUAGAGGGGGGUAGAAUUCCAGGUGUAGCGGUGAAAUGCGUAGAGAUCUGGAGGAAUACCGGUGGCGAAGGCGGCCCCCUGGACGAAGACUGACGCUCAGGUGCGAAAGCGUGGGGAGCAAACAGGAUUAGAUACCCUUGUAGUC
rnacentral:rRNA from 1 species